rnacentral:rRNA from 1 species
GAUGAACGCUGGCGGCAUGCCUAAUACAUGCAAGUCGAACGAACAGACCAGGACCUUUCUCCUCUGACUUUAUAGGCGGUCGGGACAUUAACACAGGUAUAGCCUACCUAUAAGACUGGGGUAACUUCAGCAGACCAUGUCUAAUACCCGAUGAUAUAUUGCACCGCAUGGUUCAAUAGUUGAAGACGAUUUUUCUUACACUUAUAGAUGGAUCCGCGUCGCAUUAGCUAGUGGGUAAGGUAACAGCUUACCAAGGCGACGAUCCAUAGCCGGCCUGAGAGGAUGAUCAGCCACACUGGGGCGAGGACACGGCCCAGACUCCUACGGGAGGCAGCAGUGGGGAAUAUUGGACAAUGGGCUAAAGCCUGAUCCAGCAAUGCCGCGUGAGUGAUGAAGUCCUUAGAGUUGUAAAGCUCUUGUACCCGGGAUGAUAAUGACAGUACCGAGAGAAUAAGCUCCGGCUAACUCCGUG